AAAAAAAAAAAAAAGACUAAGGUGUAAUCCAUCUAGCAUAUUUCCAGUGACCCAACAGGGGCUAGUGGGCAUGAAUUUUUACAUCUAUACCUGACUCUUCCCCCCCAAAAUACAUGGUCAAAAUAAAUUAACUCUAAUGAUUUUAUAUAUUUCCAUAUGUAUAAUGCUUUCAGUUAUGGGUCUUAUUGUAAUGGGUUAAAGUAAUUUGUUCUUAUUCCACCCUUCUAAUCAUACAAAUCAAUAUUUUAAGCUAAAUAUUCUCUUUCUCUUUGUGUUUCUGUUUUGUUUUUCCCCUUCAGCCUGAUUAUAGUAACUGGCUCUGAAUUGCUGCUUCUGCUCAACUUCCUGGAUGCUAGCAGUACCCAGGGAUGUAAAGACCUUUCAACUAGAGCUCAUAGGUUCACAGAUGCAGAGGAAUUUUGCCUCAGGAUGAAUUGCAUCUUCAGUCUCACCCAAACCUGAUUUAGAUAAUAUUUCAAUGAGACUUCGGACUUCAGACUUUACAGUUGAUGCUGCAACCAGUUAAGGCUUUUGGGAUUGUCGGAAUGGAAUGAAUGUAUUUUGCAUGUGAGAAGAACAUGAAGUGUGGGGGGGCCAUGGGCAGAAUAUUAUGGAUUGCAUGAUUUUGUCUCCCCAGAAUACAUAUGUUGAAAUUCUAAUCCCCAAUGUGAUGGUAUUAUGUGGUGGGAACUUUGGGAGGUAAUUAGGUUAUGAGGGUGGAGACCUCAUGUAAAGGAUUAGUGCCCUUAUAAGAAGAAACACAAGAGCUUGCUUCCUCUCUCUGCUCUCCACUAUGUGAAGAUAGAACAAGAAGAUGGCCAUCUGCAAACCAGGAAGAGAGCCCUCAUCAGACACUGGAUCUGCCAGCACCUUGAUCCUGGACUUCACAGCCUCCAGAACUGUGAGAAAUACAUAUAUGUUUUUUAAAGCACCCAGUCUGUGGCAUUUUGUUGUAGCAACCUGAGCUAAAACAGUUGCUAUUGAACUCUGUUCAGAGCUCCAGAUGUCCUGUGCUGGCACUGGGCAGGGUGCUCUCCUGGGCCAUUUCAUCAGCUCAGAGGCCUCACCUUCCACCAUAUGCUGAAGACCUCAAAUCUACAUCACAGUGAGACCUCCCCUGAGGUCUAGGCUAUUAAGUUGUAAGAUCUAUAAAAGCUUUCAUCACCUCACUUCCCUACUGGCCUUUACUCACCCUUCAAAAUGAUAAUUGUGUUAGUCAUUGAAAGAUGUGGCUGGGAUGAGAGUUCAGUUUACAGACUCUGCAGCUGGACUGCCUGGGUUCUGCCCUGGUUCCACCAUUAACUAGCUGGUAUCCAUGGACAAAUUGGUAUCUUCUCGGUGCCUCAGCUCCCUCUUUUCUAGAAUGAGGGGUAAUGACAGUGUCUCCCUCAUAGAUUGGAUGUGAGGAUUAGAUGAGUUUAACAGAUGUAAAGUACUUACAACAGUUCCUGGCACAUAAUAAGCUCUUACUAUAUCAGGAACUAGCUUAUUCUGUGCUUGUUAGUGUUUUAAUUUAAUUCUUAGAGUAGCCCGAUGAGGCUUUGAGAGAACUUGCCCAGUUCCAGAGCUUAAGCUCUCAACUCCGUGCUGUUUUCUUGUCUUAAGGCAUAAACACUGUUGAGCCUUGGCCGAUUCCUGGCAGAGCCAGGCGCUCCCUCCUCCAUGUUGUCACCCUACUCCAGGCUUGCUCACCCUACUGUGGGCUUGUGCAUCAGCUCUCCACAGCUGCUUCUCACCUGUAAAAAAUCAGGCUUCGUUUGUCUCAUUCUUGCCAUAGAAUGCCUUGUCCAAUUAUAUGCAAGCUUAGUACAUGUUGUUAAAUAAAAGAUUCAAUAAACGAAUUCAUAAAC
rnacentral:lncRNA from 10 species